AUAUUAUUAUAAUGAUAUUUUUAUUGUUUUAUUUAAAAGAAUUUGGCAAAUAUAUUAUUCACUUGUUUAUCAAAAACAUGUCUUAUAGAAUACAAUUUCAAUCUGUUCCGUGAAU